GUGUGUUGCUGGGGUGACUUCAGGGAGAACAGGCUCUUUGUCUACACAACUGAGGGCUUUUAUUUUUCUGUCUUCCUCAAGGAGAAGAUGGUACAAUUAUAGUUCAGCAAAGCAAAGUCAGGAGGAGGGGGAGGGACAUAGUGGGAAUGACGGAAUGACGCUUUGAUCUGACAAAGCCUCUCUUUUCCUUUGCUUCUUUUUUGUCCUUCAAACUAAUAUACCCAGUGAGACAAACCACCUCAGCCUUUGUGUAGAUCAUCCAGUUCAGAGAAUAAGGAAAAUGAAAGAAACAUACCAGUGUGUCCUUGGGCAAUUGACCUGAAAGAAAUACAUUAACCACUAAGGGAGACCUCAAGAAAAAGUGUAUAACAGUGAAAAAGGACAAUUUAUUCUCUCAUCUUGCAAACCAAACCAUGAACCAAACAACUAAGUUGCAACCCGAACAUCACUACAACGUGGUAAAUGCUGGGAGGAGAGUUGCAGAGUAACAAUCUACUUCAAGGAAGUGAUAAAGGGU
rnacentral:lncRNA from 1 species